UACGUAGGGUGCAAGCGUUUGUCCGGAAUUAUUGGGCGUAAAGAGCUUGUAGGCGGUUUGUCGCGUCUGCUGUGAAAAUCCGGGGCUCAACCCCGGACUUGCAGUGGGUACGGGCAGACUAGAGUGAUGUAGGGGAGGCUGGAAUUCCUGGUGUAGCGGUGAAAUGCGCAGAUAUCAGGAGGAACACCGAUGGCGAAGGCAGGUCUCUGGGCAUUAACUGACGCUGAGGAGCGAAAGCAUGGGGAGCGAACAGG
rnacentral:rRNA from 1 species